CCGCGCCAGAGGGGGCUCCACAGUCCGCGCCCUCCGCAGCGGCGGCGCCCGGCAACUGGAAAAAAAGUUCUGCUCAGCAGACCAGUGAGCAUACCGACCACCAGCCGACCAGUGCAUCAACCCUCUUCUCCUUACCUCGGGCAGGAGGCUUCGGGAGCGCGCUGGUCCGGUCCGCACUGCAGCCAGCUUGAAGGAGUCCGUCUCCAACCGGCCCGCUCCCUCCUGCCCCUCCCUGCCCCCCACGAGUGUUUGCCCAGCUGCACAGGAGGCUCAUCCAGGGUCAGUGAAGCCCAGAAAUGUCCUGCCUCUGUCUCUUGUCUCCUCUCCAAGCACCAAGAAAAAUGCCAGGAGGUAAAGACCUGGAUUUAGAGGAGGAAAAAAACCCAGCUCCCAGGAAAUCAACCAAGGGGAGUCUAUCAGGGAAAGUCCGGGAAAGAGAUUCCUCUUUGCCUGAUGGUGUCUCCAUCAGGGAACAGAACUGUUUGGGCCCCAUCAUUUGGAAGUGGAGAUGUCUGGGACUUUCUCAGAAGUGAUCUGAAUAAUAAAACGGACUUAUUCCUCCUAAGGAGCAUCUUAGCCAGUAGAACCCACGCACUCCCCUGCAAAGCUACCUGCCUGUGAGAAGAGCUCCCUCCAUCCUGUACCAAGGAAGCUCCAGCUGGUUCAGCCUCGUCUGAAACUCAAGGGAUUUGUCCGAAGCCAGCCUGCGUGGAGUGGAGGUGCAGGGGACUUCACUGCGACACCCAACCAUGUUUCCACCUCCACUGAGGAAGCCCCUUGCAUGGCACUGGGAAGGAGUUAGGAACUCCCCAGUUCAGUCUUCUAAGAAAGCUGUCUUACGGCAUUCUGAGUGGCUUAGUCCAAGCUAAAUAUUUCAGAAAAGGGUGUUGCUGUCACUUAAUGGACCAAGCAAGAAAGAAAAACUAGAUUAAGCCUGAAAAACACAACUCGCAAAGUCCUUGAACCAAGGAUGGAGAGCCAACAGAACGGAGGGUCUUCUUUCUCUAGGUUGGAUGCAUUUUAAUGCCGUCUUAUUUCCACUCCACUCCACCUCACAUUUCUAAGGUGCCCUCUAGCUUUCCUCCUUAGAGAGUAAGGAGUAGGGAAGAACUGAUGAAGGAAGGAAAAAAUCCCCUUUCUACUGGGGUCCAUCAGGAAUAUAGAGCCUCUUGACCCUUUAAGCCUCAAGUCUUUUUCCAUAUCAACAUCGAUUGAAUUUACUGCCAAAUUCAUUUCUGAGAGCCUGCCAUCCUGGACCAAGAGAUCCCUGGGCCGACUUCAGAGCAGUGGUGAGAUAAGUAAUAGCUAACAAUAAUAAGUACUAAAUAAUUAGCACAAUUAUUCAUGAAGCAAGCUAAGUAUUCUUUUUUUCAUUUGUAGAUGGUGAAAUCUAAGCACAUAUCAGGCUUGAGGGAGCCAAGCUUGAAAGCGGCGGGUAGGCACUGGAUGGAUAGUUCAGUUCCAAGGCCUGGGCUCUAACUCAAGGCUUCAGCAGACUCAGCAGAGAUCGGCAGAUGAAUUCUCUCUUCAAAGCUGUGACACCAUCACCAGGAAGUGGUGGACUUUUCACAGAGUAGGACUUGGUUAGAGGAGAAAACCCCAAUGGAUCAAAAAUGGAAGCUGCUGAAGUUCUUUUGCUGCAGAUGGAUUAUUCACUUGAUGAGGGAAGAUGAGCAACAGCCUUCUCAGUCUGGGAUCUGGGUUACCUCUCACCUCCUCCUGCCCAGGCUGGCUUCAUGGGGGUGCAACUUGUGUAGUCACACAUGGCCCUGUGCUCAGAAAGGUCUUGUGCUUGGUUUAAUACUCUGCCGUCACUGUCUUGAGAUUCUUAAUAACUUUACCUUUGAACUGUGUUUCGUAAGUAAAGUCUGUGGGACAAUGGAGAAUGCGUGAGUAGAGAAGAUUCGCACAAUUUGCAUGUUCACCACUCCUUGCUGCCCCAGAGUGUUGGCAGUACCCCGAGAGCACAGAAUUCCAGUGGGAGCUCAGUGAGACUCUAAGUAAGUAAAAGGUAAGUUUACGAGCAAGCGGGGCAUUGAUAGGAGCACGAGGUCAUGCUGUUUGAACCACAACUUGCUUCAUAGGCAGAAAGAAGGAAUUGGGGUUCUACAAAAUACUGUGACCAAGGAACCCCAUCAUAUCAUUUCUUACUCGUGUUCCUUCCCUGUAUUUGCCAACCACCCCAUGCUAAAGAUGAUGACAUAGAAGGAAAGGGAAGGGUAGAGCAAUCUAUAUAGUCCCUUUUGCUUUCAGUCUUUUCUGACUCAUCAGCAAGCUGAUGUCGGAGAGUACUGGUGGAACGUUCGUGAAUAAGGAGUGAAAUAGAAGCAGUUCAGUUCACUUUGUUCCACGUUUCCAUCGUUCUGAUAAGAAUGAAAUACACAUGCUUGUAUGACCUAUGAAAUACGAAUUGUGUAAUUUCAAUAAUUCUGCAAAUGAAUUAAAUGCCUUUACAACUAACAUUGCACAAUAUAAACAUGGAGGGUAAAAUUUAUGCUAAUAAUUAAAAAUUUUAAUUUUUUUAUCACGAUAUUAAACAGCAAAUAAAAAACAUCAUGACAACUUGAGAGACUGUGGAAGAAAUGAAAAAAACUUUAUAUUUUAGUCUUAAUGGCACUUUUUUCUGCUUUUUGAACAAGGGGCCCUACGUUUUCAUUUUCUAUUGGGCCCCACAAAUGAUGCAGCUGGCCCUGCUCCUGCCUUUAUUUUUGAGAAACAGAGGCGAAGCACCACGGCCCAUCCAAGGUGAUGAAGGGCAAAGGUGGACAUCAUUCUUCUCCUAAAUGGGUAGACUCUGCUUGCAGGAAUGUUCUCCAACGGUGAGUGAAGGGGGAACUGACACUCCUGAAUGAAUAUGAGGAAACCCAAGGCAAAUUCAGGUUCACCACAUACACUCAGGGACGUCAGAUCCACCCCUAAACCGGAUGCGGCAUUUCUCCACUGGCAUCUUCUUGACAGAAGACUUGACAGAAGAUGAAGAUGGUCCACUCUUUUGUGUGUUGCUUGUGAGCUCACGUGUGGAGAGAAAUCUGCACCCACACGCACACGUGUAUUGUUGUGGUCUUGGCACACAUAUGGGCAUGAGUACUACGCAUAUGUGUUUACAUGUGAGGUGUGCUUGGGCACCUGGUAUAACCUGAGAGAGGUGGUCUUUGCAUGGGUCUCAGAGGGCUGGCUGAUGGACAUGAAACACCGUUAAGGCUAGUGCAAAAAAGGUAUCAAGGAGUAUAUGUAUACAUCUGCCUGGUAUCCUUCUGGAACUUGGGUCUCAGGAGACCACAGCUAAGAGCAGAAAGCGAUACUGAUGGGCUUGGG
rnacentral:lncRNA from 1 species